rnacentral:misc_RNA from 1 species
CAAGUGAUACAAGGCUACCUCAACCAUGAUGUAUUAAUGCAAAAGUUGGAUUCCUUUGUUGAUGUUGGUGAUGUCGUCCUCAUGCUAUGGCUAAUGAAGAAUUAGGUUUGAGUCCUGUACUCGUUUAUAAAUCUAGGCUUCCAUGUAGUUUGGUGUGUUGGGCUCUUUAAAAGGUUUGGGUUGAAGUGAUGUAGUUUAUCUUUAGACUUAGAGCCUUGUACUGAGAUUUCUUUAAUGAAAUAUCUAUGAGAUGAUGUUGUGAAG